rnacentral:rRNA from 1 species
UGGUAAUGCCGGAUGCUCCGACUCCUCGCAUGGGGUGUCGGGAAAGAUUCAUCGGUAUGGGAUGGGGUCGCGUCCUAUCAGGUAGUCGGCGGGGUAACGGCCCACCGAGCCUACGACGGGUAGCCGGCCUGAGAGGGCGACCGGCCACAUUGGGACUGAGAUACGGCCCAGACUCCUACGGGAGGCAGCAGUGGGGAAUAUUGCACAAUGGGCGCAAGCCUGAUGCAGCGACGCCGCGUGCGGGAUGACGGCCUUCGGGUUGUAAACCGCUUUUGAUCGGGAGCAAGCCUUCGGGUGAGUGUACCUUUCGAAUAAGCACCGGCUAACUACGUGCCAGCAGCCGCGGUAAUACGUAGGGUGCAAGCGUUAUCCGGAAUUAUUGGGCGUAAAGGGCUCGUAGGCGGUUCGUCGCGUCCGGUGUGAAAGUCCAUCGCUUAACGGUGGAUCUGCGCCGGGUACGGGCGGGCUGGAGUGCGGUAGGGGAGACUGGAAUUCCCGGUGUAACGGUGGAAUGUGUAGAUAUCGGAAAAAAAACACCA